rnacentral:rRNA from 1 species
AAUCAACGCUGGCGGCGUGCCUCAGACAUGCAAGUCGAACGCGAAAUUUCCCUUCGGGGAGAAAGUAGAGUGGCGCACGGGUGACUAACACGUAGGUAAUUUGCCUUCGGGUGGGGGAUAACUCAGGGAAACUUGAGCUAAUACCGCAUAAUGCAGCGGCUCGACAUCGAGACAGUUGUUAAAGCGGGGGAUUCGCAAGAACCUCGCGCCUGAAGAGAAGCCUGCGGCAGAUUAGCUAGUUGGUAGGGUAAUGGCCUACCAAGGCAACGAUCUGUAACCGGCCUGAGAGGGCGGUCGGUCACACUGACACUGACAUACGGGUCAGACUCCUACGGGAGGCAGC